AGCGAACGCUAGCGGCAGGCCUAACACAUGCAAGUCGAACGAACCUUUCGGGGUUAGUGGCGGACGGGUGAGUAACACGUGGGAACGUGCCUUUAGGUUCGGAAUAACUCAGGGAAACUUGUGCUAAUACCGAAUGUGCCCUUCGGGGGAAAGAUUUAUCGCCUUUAGAGCGGCCCGCGUCUGAUUAGCUAGUUGGUUGAGGUAAUGGCUCACCAAGGCGACGAUCAGUAGCUGGUCUGAGAGGAUGAUCAGCCACAUUGGGACUGAGACACGGCCCAAACUCCUACGGGAGGCAGCAGUGGGGAAUCUUGCGCAAUGGGCGAAAGCCUGACGCAGCCAUGCCGCGUGAAUGAUGAAGGUCUUAGGAUUGUAAAAUUCUUUCACCGGGGACGAUAAUGACGGUACCCGGAGAAGAAGCCCCGGCUAACUUCGUG
rnacentral:rRNA from 1 species